UAAUAAUUAGUUUACAGGUAACAGCGCAAUUUGAAUGCGAAGGAAGUAGUGUAAUUCUACUAUUAUUAA
rnacentral:tRNA from 1 species